rnacentral:rRNA from 1 species
GGAUUAGAUACCCUGGUAGUCCACGCUGUAAACGAUGUCAACUAGCCGUUGGGGGGCAUGUCCCUUUAGUGGCGCAGCUAACGCGAUAAGUUGACCGCCUGGGGAGUACGGCCGCAAGGUUAAAACUCAAAGAAAUUGACGGGGGCCCGCACAAGCGGUGGAGCAUGUGGUUUAAUUCGAUGCAACGCGAAGAACCUUACCUGCCCUUGACAUCCUCGGAACGGUCCAGAGAUGGACUGGUGCCUUCGGGAACCGAGUGACAGGUGCUGCAUGGCUGUCGUCAGCUCGUGCCG